rnacentral:misc_RNA from 1 species
GAAUAAGAUAGAAUUGUGUGUUCUUCAAAUGCAAUUCUUGAUUUUACCGCUCCAUAAGACUCGAGGAUGAGUUUUCUACAACCAAGAGAAAAUGAUGCAGUUAAGGAAGUCAAGUUAUAUUCAAUUUAGGAGUUAUUUUAAUUUUAUUUUUCAUCAUAAAAUUAGGAACUUUUGGUUUCUAAUAAUUAUGAAGUUUAUAUUAUCUUGGAUUUUUUUAUUAUUAUUGUUAUUUAUGAAGUAGUAUUUAAUUUUAUUUUAUUUU